GCUUAUUCACCUUAAGAAGAGGUUUAUAACUGUUUGCGUCGAGGACUAUCAAAAGCGUGAUAGCUGAUUUGAAUAGAGGAAAGUAAACGGCAAGAAAUAAACAAAGUUGGAACCAAUACAGCCAAUGCCAAAUAACCCAUGUACAAACCAGGAGUAAAAAAUUGAUAUUCGGUAAACAGUCCCGUCGCACCAUUGUCGGUGACAGGGUGCUUCCUUGUUUGGUGCAUAGCAAGCGUGGUUUGUGAUCCCUCAUUUUGAUCAGGUAAAGAAGCCAAUUGGCCGUGUUGAAGAGCACUCUUCCCUGAGUUGAGACCACCUAGCGUUUGAAUUACAAAUUCAGCAUUGGCCUCUUCUUCGUUAGCAUCAACCUUAAAUCCUUCAAAAUCUGAGUUAUUCAAAGGAGAAGAGGCUAUAAUUACAUUCCACUGAGCAUCUUGUUCCAAGGUAGAUUGUAAGUUGUAGAACAUUUCAUCCAAUUCCAUUAAUUGUGCACUUCUAUGAUAACUUUCAUUUGACAGUUCAUUCAUGUAAACAACAGUUAUGCGAUCAUUUUGAAGAGGAGGAAAAGCAUUAAAGGAUCCACCCAAGUAAACUACCUCAACGUCGCAGUUUUGCUUUGCCGAAUGCACCAACUCUUGUGAGUCCAAAGACUCCUUGGAAUAAGGAAGAAGUAAGCUAUAGGGUGAUUGCAAAGAAACACGCUUUAAAUGUUUAAAAGCUCCCAACUGAAAAUCAUUAACCUCAAGGCCUGGUUGAUGUAUAAUUAAGGUAGCUGUAUUGCAUGUCGAAAGUGCCUCAAUUGCGGCGUCAAAAAACAUCAUAGGGCAAGUGGAUAUUGAAGAAUCAUCGGAUGAUUUGGGGAGUUUGCUGUUUUUAGUUAGAUUAAAUA